rnacentral:rRNA from 1 species
UUGCCAGUUGAUGUGCUCGCGUCGGAUUAGCUAGUUGGUAGUGUAAGGGACUACCAAGGCGACGAUCCGUAGCCGGUCUGAGAGGACGAUCGGCCACACUCGGACUGAGACACGGCCCAGACUCCUACGGGAGGCAGCAGUGGGGAAUUUUCCGCAAUGGGCGAAAGCCUGACGGAGCAAGACCGCGUGAGGGAGGAAGGCUCUUGGGUUGUAAACCUCUUUUCUCAAGGAAGAAGAAAUGACGGUACUUGAGGAAUCAGCAUCGGCUAACUCCGUGCCAGCAGCCGCGGUAAUACGGAGGAUGCAAGCGUUAUCCGGAAUGAUUGGGCGUAAACGUCCGCAGGUGGCAGUUCAAGUCUGCCGUUAAAGACUCCAGCUUAACUGGAGGAAGGCGGUGGAAACUGAACAGCUAGAGUGCGGUAGGGGCAGAGGGAAUUCCCGGUGUAGCGGUGAAAUGCGUAGAGAUCGGGAAGAACACCAGUGCGAAACGCUCUG